GCUGCUGAGCGCUGAUUGGCUCCGGCUUGGGAAGCGGCAGAAAAGGCCGGCGUGUGGGGCGGGCCUGGGGAAGGGACUCCCGCGGCCCUAAGGUGCUGGCGGGCGUUUGGCGUUGCAGCUGUGUGGGCGCUGGUGCGUGCGAGUAGCGCUCGAAGAAACCCAAAGGCGUCGUGGGGCUGCCGUGUGCCCCAGAGAGCACUGCAGGCCGGGUAGGGGCUAAGGCUCCCCGCAGUCUUCUGUGUGUCGUCCAGUACGCAGUUGAAAUCGUUCUCCAACCUGGCCAGUCCUCCGAGGCCCUUCUCAGGCGACCAGACUCUGUUAACAGAGUCCAUUGCUAAAACUCCUCGUUAGUAUUUACCACUCCUCCAGUCUGUGUUUUGAAGCAGUGGUUUUCAACCACUGCCCGUUUUCAGAAGAAAUCAUCUCAAGCGUCCGUGUGCUGCUAGAAGCCGGGCCGGGAGGUCUUGGUGCCGGACUCCACCCUGCAGCCCUUCCCUUUCGCCACCGCCCUGUGCUUAGAGAAACCUUAGAGUGGAGCAAUGAGUCGCCCUUGACUGAGUAACUCUUCGGGGUCAACUUCUCCUUCCACGCCAAGGAAAGGAUUCCAGGGCGAUGUUUCUGGAAAUAGAGAUCUGACCAAGCCACUGCUCUGGUGAAAAUUCAGUGGGUCCCUAGCACCUAGUGCAGCGGCUCCUAGCCUGAGUAUUGCCGUCUUUCGGUGGGGAGGGGUUGGGUUUUUUUGUAGCAUCUGUUGAUCUGAUCUCCAACAUCCUCCACGUCAAUUCCCACUCCACCCACAUCCCUUAUCCUAUACGUAAGCUUUCCAGCCACGGUGCUGGCUUGGGUGGGGGUGCGUGCGGUGCUGACACCAAAAUGGAGGUCCCGUGUUUCUGAGAGUCUCUUUCAGAGCAAUGCAAACCUGAAACUACUCCUGCCAAGAAACGAUUGCAGCUCUUCCCGGAAAAGUUAAAGCCUUUGAGAAACAAAGCUGAGGUUGAAAGUAUUAGUCCAUUUUAUAGAUGAAGAAAUGGAGGCCCAGAGAGAUCACGUGACUUAGCCAAGUCCACCAACUAAUAUUGGGAAGCUCAGCAGGGUCCUGGGGGCCCACAGGAAUGUGAAUAAACACGCUUGGAAAGUCUGCAGAAUUUCCAGUCCUAGCCUCCUGCUGGUGUGAACCUGGGCUCCUGUGCCUGGGACCCUGGGAGGGCCUAGGGGAUGCCAAAUUCCAGGGUCCAGAAAGAGCUUGGGAUAAAAUGAACAUCCAAGGGGAGGGCUUUGACCUGGGCUGAGUCUGCCUGUGCCGAGUCUGCCUGUGCCAUCCAACUGGAGUCUCAAGUCCUGAGGCAGGACGUCCAGAUGCCCCAGUGCAGGGUCCUCCUGAUCAACACCUGCUCCCCUGUACUCAUUAGCAACCUCACCCACCCUACUCUCAAAGCACACUUGGCUCUCAUAUCCAGGAGCUCUGCAUCUGUAGAUUCAGCAACAGCAGAUGGAAAAUAUUCAGAAAAUAAAUUGGACAGUUAUAUUUCUAUUGAA
rnacentral:lncRNA from 1 species